rnacentral:lncRNA from 10 species
GGUGCGACCCCGGCUGCGACUCGGAUCCGUUUAUUCCAAAUGUCCCAGCCCACGCCGUGCCCAGAGUGUGGCGACACGAGGCCAAACUGCCCACCUACUGAAAAUCUGUCUGUGUGCCGAGCACGCGCUCCCCAUCCCUCUACCAAAUGCCUGGCUGGCGCGUCAUCCCUGGCUUUGAUGGACGGAGUCUUGCUGUGUUGCCCAGGCUGGAGUGCAGUGGCAUGAUCUCUGUUCACUUCAACCUCCGCCUCCUGAGUUCAAGCGAUUCUCCUGCCUCAGCUUCCCAAGCAGCUGGACUACAGCAGGGAUGACGGCGCUCCUGGAGGCUGGCUGGGAAGCUGGUCAGGGUCCCAGGACUCUGACACCCCCAAUGGCCCUUGUAGCCUUGGGGAGUCCUGUGAUCCAAGGCUGGAGGACUGAGUCCCCUCCAGGUCUCAUAGCAGACGAAUAGCAGCUUCACCCAGGCCUGUUUUGUCGUGGCCCCAUUCAGAGGCCGCCCUCCUCUGUGGUUUAGAGCAUGCCCUGGAAUCCCUAGCACAACCAGGGGUUACCUCCUGCUGGCUGACCCCUUCCUGUGCUGCGGGCUGGAAUAUAGGGUUUAACCCUGUUAUAACCCAGAGGAACACAAAAGGAGGAACAUCAGGCUUUAUGGAGAGACUGGAAAUGAAGUGGAGGUUUUCCUUGCUCAUGAAACCUGGCUCACCCUACAG